CGCGAGUAAGCAAUCAUACAGACUGCGUUCCAAAACCCAACUCGACUGGAUUUUGGAACGCAGCCCGGUGUUUCCGAAUGCAGCUUUAAAUAUCCUUUGUCUCACGGUCAGAGAAUUUCAAUCCUAUUGGUUACCUCCAGUAGAUUCUGUGCACCAAUAGUACAUCGGUACGGAGACGCUACAUUAUCAAAGUCUUUCUUUGAAGAAUCAUUUGAAGAAAAAAUUGGUUCGAAAUGCUAGGUUCAGCGGAAAGAUUCUCGGGCACCGGCCGAUGUGAGUGGAUAUGUGCAAUCAUACCCUAACGUUAUAACGGGCCCUCCCAGCUUAUUAAUUUAAAUAACGCAUUGUCAGAUUCAAUUUAUAUGAUUAAAUAAAAAUUAUCAUUUUCUUUGUUAAA